AUUGAACGCUGGCGGCAGGCCUAACACAUGCAAGUCGAACGAGUGGCGGACGGGUGAGUAAUGUCUGGGGACUGCCCGAUAGAGGGGGAUAACUACUGGAAACGGUAGCUAAUACCGCAUACUAUCGGAUAACCCAUAUGGGAUUAGCUAGUAGGUGAGGUAAGGGUUCACCUAGGCGACGGUCGCUAGCUGGUCUGAGAGGAUGAUCAGCCACACUGGGACUGAGACACGGGCCAGACUCCUACGGAGGCAGCAGUGGGGAAUAUUGCACAAUGGGCGCAAGCCUGAUGCAGCCAUGCCGCGUGUAGGAAGAAGGCCCUAGGGUUGUAAAGUACUUUCAGUCGGGAGGCGUUACCGACAGAAGAAGCACCGGCUAACUCCGUGCCAGCAGCCGCGGUAAUUC
rnacentral:rRNA from 1 species